GGGGGCAACCCCUUGAGAGUGGCGAACGGGUGAGUAAUGUAUCGGAACGUGCCCAGUCGUGGGGGAUAACGUAGUGAAAAUUACGCUAAUACCGCAUACGAUCUAUGGAUGAAAGCGGGGGAUCGCAAGACCUCGCGCGAUUGGAGCGGCCGAUAUCAGAUUAGGUAGUUGGUGGGGUAAAGGCUCACCAAGCCAACGAUCUGUAGCUGGUCUGAGAGGACGACCAGCCACACUGGAACUGAGACACGGUCCAGACUCCUACGGGAGGCAGCAGUGGGGAAUUUUGGACAAUGGACGCAAGUCUGAUCCAGCCAUUCCGCGUGCAGGACGAAGGCCUUCGGGUUGUAAACUGCUUUUGUACGGAACGAAAAAGCUCUUAUUAAUACUAGGAGUCCAUGACGGUACCGUAAGAAUAAGCACCGGCUAACUACGUGCCAGCAGCCGCGGUAAUACGUAGGGUGCAAGCGUUAAUCGGAAUUACUGGGCGUAAAGCGUGCGCAGGCGGUUAUAUAAGACAGAUGUGAAAUCCCCGAGCUUAACUUGGGAACUGCAUUUGUGACUGUAUAGCUAGAGUACGGCAGAGGGGGAUGGAAUUCCGCGUGUAGCAGUGAAAUGCGUAGAUAUGCGGAGGAACACCGAUGGCGAAGGCAAUCCCCUGGGCCUGUACUGACGCUCAUGCACGAAAGCGUGGGGAGCAAACAGGAUUAGAUACCCUGGUAGUCCACGCCCCAAACGAUGUCAACUGGUUGUUGGGUCUUCCCUGACU
rnacentral:rRNA from 1 species